GUAGAGAUUGGAAAUCAUUACUUAUACAACCUUCUUGGGAUUUCAUAAGAAAUCGAAGUCUUGGGGCUCCGGAGGGAAUUCGUUGCAAAGCUGAAUAUUAAUGGGAAUAACGGACAGGCACCACCAGGAGUGGAGCUUGCGGCUUAACGUGAUUCAAGAUGGGGACACUUACUAGGUCUGGAAACAAUAAAAAUUAACAGGUUGAUAAACCUUUUUAUUGAUUCUAUGGGUUGGUGUUGCAUGGAAAUUUUAAAUUGGUGGACUGAUUUGUGUGGUUAAUUCCGUUAACGAGCGGAGCCUGGCUUUGCUAAAUAAUUACACGUAC
rnacentral:rRNA from 10 species